rnacentral:lncRNA from 12 species
GGAGUUGUGAUGAAGAGGAGCACGAGCAGCGCAGGCUCCAGUCCUGCAGGGGAUGAGGAAGGAGCAAGGAGCUGCUGCUGCUCAUCCUUUUCAUUCUCGCUUUUGCCCAUCGCUGCUACCAUCCCUUUGGUUCAUCCCUUUCGUCAUCCCUUCUGCUCAUCCCUGACAGACCCAGCUGGGCAGGAAGGCUUGUGACCAAGCAUGGAAGAAGAGACAAGCAACAUCCCUGCAGACAUGGCAACAUCCCUGGAGGCACUCAGCCUCUCCCAGCUGCUAGAUCUUGCCAUUGGGGCACCCGAGCGUGGCACUGUGCAUUUUCUGGCCAUACGAAAACUGCUGGAGGUUGUGCUGGUGCACCUGAAUGUGCAGUACCUGACCACCCAGGAGCCGUGGACAGGCCAGUUGGGUGGCCCCUCACUCGCCGACAUGGCCUCUGGCAUGGAACAGAUGAAGAAGGAGAUUCAAAACUACAAAAAAAAGUCUAAGGGUCAUCAAGAUGAUAUUGGUGGGAUAAAGGCAGAAAAUUCCCGUAUGGCUGAGGACAUCAAGAACAUGCAGGAGGCACAGGCAAUGGCUGCUGCCAAGCAUCUUCAGGAGACAGAAAGUUUAAAGACUGCCCAGCGUCGCCUGAUAGAGGACAUGAAGAAGAUCCAGAGCUCACGGGAUGAGGACAUGGCUGCUGUCCAGGACGUCCGGGACGAGAUUGACAAGAUAAAGGCACAACUGGCCCUCAUAGAAGAAGAAAUAAAGAAGAUAAAGGAUGCCCUUGCCUUAAUGAAGAAGCUGGAGGAGGACAUUAAAAAGCUGAGGGCAGAAACAGCCAAGUGGAAAGAAGAGAUUAACAAGGAGAUCUCUCAGAAAUUUGAGGCUAUGCAACAGGAAACAAAGCGUGAGCUGAAGAAGAUGGAGGAGCAGCAGGAGCUGAGGAAUGCCAUGCUGCAGCAGAUGGUGGCUGAGACAGCCAACCAGCUGAACGAGCAGGAUGAGGAGCUGGCACAGCAAAUGGAAGCCAAGUUUGCGCAGAUUCAGAGGGACUAUGAGAAGCUCAGCUUUGCCUCAGGGAGUCUCCAGAAGGACUCUCAACAAAAGCAGAAAGCAAUCGAGAUGCUGUUCCAGUCUCUGGAGAAGCUGCAGAAGGAGAAAGCAGAUGAGCAGGACAUGUUGGCAGCAAUAGACGUGAAGGCAGAUAAAGCUGCCUUGGGCAGCAAAGUCGAUUCCAGCCAGUUUGAAGAGAACAUGGAGCAGCUGGGAAGCAAACCUGGAGAGGCUGCAUGA